AUGUCUGCUGGUAGGGUUUCCACUACAGAUGCAAGAAAAAGGUCCUCCCGCUUUCUGUCUGUCUGGUUGUGGCAGCUCAGAUUGAACAGGGAAAUACAGGA
rnacentral:snoRNA from 1 species